GCCUUACACAUGCAAGUCGAACGGCAGCACGGGAGCAAUCCUGGUGGCGAGUGGCGAACGGUGAGUAAAGUAUCGGAACGUACCUUUCAGUGGGGAUAACGUAGCGAAAGUUACGCUAAUACCGCAUAUUCUGUGAGCAGGAAAGCAGGGGAUCGCAAGACCUUGCGCUGAUUGAGCGGCCGAUAUCAGAUUAGCUAGUUGGUGGGGUAAAGGCCUACCAAGGCGACGAUCUGUAGCGGGUCUGAGAGGAUGAUCCGCCACACUGGAACUGAGACACGGUCCAGACUCCUACGGGAGGCAGCAGUGGGGAAUUUUGGACAAUGGGGGCAACCCUGAUCCAGCCAUGCCGCGUGAGUGAAGAAGGCCUUCGGGUUGUAAAGCUCUUUCGGCCGGGACGAAAUCGCACGGGCUAAUAUCCUGUGUGGAUGACGGUACCGGAAUAAGAAGCACCGGCUAACUACGUGCCAGCAGCCGCGGUAAUACGUAGGGUGCGAGCGUUAAUCGGAAUUACUGGGCGUA
rnacentral:rRNA from 1 species